rnacentral:rRNA from 1 species
CCUACGGUGGGCUGCAGUGAGGAAUAUUGGUCAAUGGGCGGGAGCCUGAACCAGCCAAGUCGCGUGAGGGAAGAAGGUCCUGAGUAUUGUAAACCUCUUUUGCCAGGGGACAAAAGCGGCCACGGGUGGCCGUAAGAGGGUACCUGGAGAAAAAGCAUCGGCUAACUCCGUGCCAGCAGCCGCGGUAAUACGGAGGAUGCGAGCGUUAUCCGGAUUUAUUGGGUUUAAGGGGUGCGCAGGCGGCGUGUCAAGUCAGCGGUAACAUGUCGGGGCUCAACCCCGGCCGGCCGUUGAAACUGGAGUGAGCGAGUUGGAGAGAAGUAUGCGGAAUUCGUGGUGUAGCGGUGAAAUGCAUAGAUAUCACGAGGAACCCCGAGUGCGAAGGCAGCAUACCGGCGCCACACUGACGCUGAGGCACGAAAGCGUGGGUAUCGAACAGGAUUAGAUACCCGAGUAGUC